ensembl:snRNA U1 U1 spliceosomal RNA
AUACUUUAUGGCAGGAGGGAUACCAUGAUCCUGAAGGUGGUUUUCUCAGGGCAAGGCUCAUCCAUUGCACUCUGGAUUUGCUGACUCCUGUGAUUUCCCCUAAUGUGGGAAACUCAACUGCGUAGAUUGUGGUAGUGGGGAACUGUUCGCAUUCUAUU